ACGAGGCUCAUAACCUUGAGGUCACGGGUUCGAUUCCCGUCUCCGCAC
rnacentral:tRNA from 1 species